CAAAAUAGUGUCGUUAAAAAAAGUUUUUCCCAUAUUCGUACAUGUUUUCAAAUUAAUGUCGAUGGUUCUUCCAUCAGAAAAAAUUCGCUAAUAAAAAAUGUAAAAUAAAAUAUAAAAGAAUUUCAUUUGAAAAUUAUGCAAGUCUUAUCGUUAUAGAACUGUUUUUCGUUAAACGUUAAGAUUUAUCAUCAUACAAAUUGAAUAAUAAUUAAGAUCUAAGCUUAUUUUAUAAUUGAAAAUUAUAUUAUUAUACUGCGUACAUUUUGCGUUUAAGAGUGACGAUAUAAAUUACCUUUUUCUAAAUUUUAAUCCUAACUCAAAUAAUGAUAUAUAUUAAAUACUAUUUAUUUCAUUGAAUUUUAAACUUUAUUAUCAACUGAUCAGCGGAUUCGUCUUGCUUUGUCUGACAUUGAGGAGAAACACAAUCACGCUCAAAGUCAAUCAUGUAUCACUGAUUGUGAGUCGUUCGCAAACCGUUUUUAAAGUGAAACAGAACUGAAACAAUAUUAUCGAGAUCGUUGAAUCGCGUUGAAUCUAAUUUCGAAUAUUUGCAUUAUAUGUCACGUGAAUAAAUAUAAAAAAAAGUAUUCAACACGUUACGACAAACACGUAAAAUACUAAAAAAUUUGGUAGAAGCGCUAAAAAGUUCCAGCAGAUUUAUGUUACAAUGACGAUAUAUUCAUGACAGUAAAUUUUGAAUGAGAAGUGUCUGUAAAAUAGAAAAUUUUGAUACGUUAUUAAGCAUCUGUCGAAAAUGAACAAAAGUGUAAAAUUUUACCGAUGUAUGGAGGAACUUUUAAUAAAUGAACAGAGAAUAUUCGGCAAACUAUGUGAUAUCACUCGAACGGAGGAAACCUCACUUUUUAUUGACGAUCUGAUGCUGGCUAUUGUCGAUAUUUUUGAAAAAUGCGAUAUUCCCGUAGGAGUCUCAGAGGACAGACAAGAGGAUAGAAAGAGUAUUAGUAGGAUACGGAUCGUUGUAGAAUGCUACAAUUAUCUUUUGUUGAACACCUGUUUUCCUUCACAGGACUAUCUUCAAAUGGACUUUGCGAAUGGACACAAAGUGAAUAUGUGGCCUAAUAUAUCGCCGUAUCUUUUCAUACAGAUAAUAUGGCUACUAGAAUACGAUGAAGUAUUAGUCGAAUCGCUUCAACACAUACCGUUGGAUUUAUGUGCAGAAAUUCUGGAUAUAACGAUCAAGUGCUUGAAUGAAUUGCAAAGUGAGCGUGCCAUAUCUCUGAUUUGCAGUCUGAUCAGCAGGAUAUAUUGUAGAUGCUUGUGGCUGGAUUGGAAUGUACAUCUAAAGAACAACGUGAAAGAACGCUUAUAUCAAUUAGUGGCAUAUUUUCAGAUGUUACUGGAUCUACUUGACGAGUUUAAUAAGUUUUCCGAAAUAUGCAUUGAAGAAAAAUAUAAGCAACGCGGAAUUUUCUUGAAACGCAUCCUUUGCCACACAAGAUUGUGCAUGUGUAAAAAAUUAAGUUCAAAUCUGAUAAACCCAGAUGUUAAAUACAUAGCAGAUAUGUACAGACUUACAUUCGGUAAUCUGCCUCUGGAGUUUUAUCAUAAAUUUACAAACUACGAGAUAAACUCUAUCAUGAUAAUGUUGGAUCAGGAACUUGUUACACUAUUACUGAAGCAAAUUUCAAAGGUUGAAUACCUUGAAUGCAUAUACUGGGCAAAGAUUGAAGACAAAGAAGAUAUUACGACUUCGUUGCAGCAUGCCGUUGCUAUUGAGUGUCACAAUUUCAUGGAAUACAUGAAGAAAGAUGAUUUUCUGAUGGGAAAUGAUCAUCUGCGUCACCUUCUACAGCAAAUUAUUCAAUGGUCUGAUUUCUCCAGCCCAGAAAAUUCUAACAGAUUCAGUUUAACUCUUCAGGAGCUUUGUGCCAGCAUUGUUAAUGACAAAUCAAAAAAUAUAAGAAAAUUGAUGAAACGCUACAAAGAAUGGGACCAAUUAACGAUGAAUUUCAUUAGUGACCGAAUGCACUUAUUGGAAAAAAAUGAUAUUUUCUUUUUGCUUGAGUAUCUCCACCACGUGUUUGCGAAUUCGCUAAACGCAACGGAAAGAAAUCAAGCAUAUUUGUCGGUAGUGACUAUGCUGGAACGGGUGAAUGUGAUAAAUUUACAUUUCUGUGUGCUAAAAUACACGAAGCAUCACUUUCAGGACAAUUAUUUAGAGUGUAUGUACGAUGACAAGGUGUUUCAUAAUUUUAUAAAGAACGAGAUAAAUUUUUGCGACCCUCGAAAAUUACAUAUGCUCCUGAUCCAUAUUCUACUGAACGCGAAGAAAGUGCUGACUAUUUUAGUAAAAAUAAUGAUCAACCACGUUGACGAUAGGAAUUUUACCAAAAAAAAAGAAGGAGAGCUGUUGCUGCUUACACCGUUUUUUCGUUUAAAAGUAGACAAACGAUACAAUUUGCUGCUGGUCAUUUUAAAAGAAGUUUGUUUCAACAACAUAUUGGACGGAUCGAGGCUCUGCACUUUUUUAGAAGAUAUGCUAUACAUUAAGAUGAUAAAAACAAAUGAUUUGUUCAACUACUUUUACAUCCCCUAUUUCAUAAGAACUGACUUCAACGAGGAUAAUGUUAAUCAUCUUGACAUUAUGCUUCAGAAUAUGUCGUUUAUUGCGAAGGAUUUCAAGUUUAAAAACAAAAUAAAUUACAUACUGCUAAUUGUUGCAGUGCUCAAGAAGAUGUCUUUGAUAAGGAGAAACACGGAAUGCAUAAAAGGAGACAUGGACGAGACAUUGUAUAAUGCACGUAAAGUACUACGCAAGUUCCAAAGAUGUUUUCCAACAAUUUUCACAUAUGAAACGAUGAUGAGCAAAUUGCGCGAUUAUCACUGCACAGUCGGCAUUUGGUUAGAGCCACUUGAUUGGGCACAGAUGUCAAUGAUAAUUAUAAGACUUGACAAAAUCGAUAUCCGGAACGUAAUAUUGGACUAUGAGGCGCGUUGCUUUCCCAUACAUCAAAGAUUGCGAACAAAUUCAAUAUGGAUAUACAAUAAAAGAUUUACGAAUUGUACUCGAAUCAAUCGAGAGAGCUUGAUACGACAUAUGAUGUUGCAUGCAACUAUGAGAGAGUUCAAGUCGCUCGUGUACGAACUGACAGAGCUAUAUUACCAUUUUGGUUGGACCAGCCAGUUGGAAGCAUACGAAAACUUAGUGCGGAUAGCGGCCGAAGCGAUACAGCUUACUAUAGUGUAUUCUAAGACGUUUCCGCCAAACGCUUCCAUUACACUGCUGCGCACUCUUGUUAAAUUUUGCAAAAAGUUUGCAAAAAAAUCAGACGCCAAUUUACAUUAUGCAGUUUGCUGUAUUUUGCUGAAGACUUUGUUCUCUCUGCAACAAUUAAUAAAUGGUACACGGUACACUAAGGUAUAUAGCGACAUGCUCAUACAUAUCAAUAACAAGUUCGCUAAUAAAUCCUAUACAGAUGCAAAACAUUAUUUUUAUAACGUUAAGGAAUGGAUGAAAGUGUGUUUCGGUCGAUACAACAGUCGAAGAAUAAUUUCUUUCGAAAAAAUGUUCGAAAGGAGUCUCAGAGGACAGACAAGAGGAUAGAAAGAGUAUUAGUAGGAUACAGAUCGUUGAAUGCUACAAUUAUCUUCUGUUGAACACCUGUUUUCCCUCACAGGACUAUCUUCAUAUGGACUUUGGGAAUGGACACAAAGUGAAUAUGUUGCCUAUUAUAUCGCUGUAUCUCUUCAUACAGAUAAUAUGGCUACUAGAAUACGAUGAAGUAUUAAUCGAAUCGCUUCAACACAUACCAUUGGAUUGAUGUGCGGAAAUUCUGGAUAUAACGAUCAAAUGCUUGAAUGAAUUGAAAAGUGAGCGUGCCAUAUCUCUGAUUUGCAGUCUGAUCAGCAGGAUAUAUUGUAGAUACCUGUGGCUGGAUUGGAAUGUACAUCUAAAGAACAACGUGAAAGAACGCUUAUAUCAAUUAGUGGCAUAUUUUCAGAUAUUACUGGAUCUACUUGACGAGUUUAAUCAGUUUUCCGAAAUAUGCAUUCAAGAAAAAUAUAAGCAACGCGGAACUUUCUUGAAACGCAUCCUUCGCUACACAAGAUAGUGCAUGUGUAAAAAAUUAAGUUCAAAUCUGAUAAACCCAGAUGUUAAAUACAUAGCAGAUAUGUACAGACUUACAUUCGGUAAUCUGCCCCUGGAGUUUUAUCAUAAAUUUACAAACUACGAGAUAAACUCUAUCGUGAUAAUGUUGGAUCAGGAACUUGUUACACUAUUACUGAAGCAAAUUUCAAAGGUUGAAUACCUCGAAUGCAUAUACUGGGCAGAGAUUGAAGACAAAGAAGAUAUUACGACUUCGUUGACUACUUUUUCAGGCAAAAAAUUUUUUUUUAAAAACACGACAUGUCAGCAUAUGUAAUAAUAUAUAUUGUAUAUGCAAUGUAUUUGAUACAUAUAAGCGACUAAAUAAAACGAUGCAAUUAAGAGAAAUGAAGAGAAAAGAAAAUAAUCAUUAAAUAAUCAAAUAUAAAUCUAAAAUAUGUCACGUUAAAGAUGAA